UUCGUGUGAACAGUGGUUGAUCACGAGUUAGUCGGUCCUAAGUUCAAGGCGAAAGCCGAAAAUUUUCAAGUAUAAUGUAUAUAUUUUUUAUUAUUAUUAUCGAUUUUUAUACACUUGAAUAAUUUUGAACGAAAGGGAAUACGGUUCCAAUUCCGUAACCUGUUGAGUAUCCGUUUGUUAUUAAAUAUGGGCCUCGUGCUCAUCCUGGCAACAGGAACGACCAUAAAGAAGCCGUCGAGAGGUAUCGGAAGAGUUUUCUUUUCUGUUUUAUAGCCGUACUACCAUGGAAGUCUUUCGCAGAGAGAUAUGGUAGAUGGGCUAGAAGAGCAUGACAUAUACUGUUGUGUCGAUAUUUUCUCCUCGGACCUUGAAAAUUUAUGGUGGGGAUACGCAAACUUCUCAACAGGCCGUACCAAUAUCCGCAGCUGGUCUCCAAGGUGAAGAGUCUCUAGUCGAUAGAAUA
rnacentral:rRNA from 1 species